rnacentral:lncRNA from 1 species
UAAAACCAAAACCCAAAUGAAAUGACAGGAGCAUUAGUUCUGCUUGGCAGAUAAAGGACAGGAAAGGAAGUCCACGUUUUAGAAUAGUCUGUAACCAAAUAUUAAACUUUCUGUUUUUGGUUUUUAUUAGUGAAAAUCAGAGUUGUCAAAAGUUACCUCAAAAACAGCAAUCCCCCAAAACACAGAGAUGGUUCAGCCUGCCUCUCCCUACAAGGAAAUGCAAGGAGAUUCUACCAUCAAUGUAGAAAACUGAGGGCCUGAGACGUUAACUAACUUCCUAAGGUAAAAUACAGCUGGCCAGUAGCCAAGUCGGAAAUAGAAUUCAGGUCCUUUGACUAUGGUUCAGUCACUUUUAAUGAUAACGCUCUGUCUCUUGUGUAAUUUUUCCUGAUUGGAUUCUUGCUUAUUCCUCAUGUACUGGCUGAAGUAAGAUAUAGUUUCUGCACUUCGAGAAUCAGGAAAAUAUGAACUGUUCAGGUCCACUCCACACUCAUUUCCUGAAGACCUUUGCAGUCAUCCAGUCAAUUAAACACUCCUUGCUAGCUACCACAUGCCACAUACCAGACAAUCUCAAAACAUUGCAGUGUAUGUCCCCUCAAGAACAUCAAACAAGUUAAUAAAACAAAACUGUGGUGGUUUGAAUGCGCUUGGGCCAUGGGCAAUUAUUAGCAGGUGUGGCCUCUUUGGAGGAAGUGUGUCCCUAUGUAGGUGUGCUUUGAUGGUUCCUAGUGCUCAAGCUCUGUCCAGUAUAGAAGACGUAGUCUCUUCCUGGCAGCCUUCGUUCAAGAUGUAGAACUCUCAGCUCCUUUUCUAGCACCAUAUCUGCCUGGACACUGCCAUGUUUCCCACCAUGAUGAUGGUGGACUGAACCUCUGAAACUGUAAGUCAGCCCCAAUGAAACGCUGUCCUUUAUAAAAGUUGCCUUGGUCAUGUUGUCUCUUCACAACAAUGAAACCCAAACUAAGACCAAAAACAAAGAUUUUGUAUUGCAGGAGGAUAAAUACACAUGAGUACAGGUAAAUGUGUACAAAAGAAACUGUGGUAAAUGGGGCUGUAACAGAAAUAGGCAUGAUGGCAAAGCACCAAGGAGACAGGAAGGAGAUGACUCUGACCUGGGAAGCAGAGAGAGAUGUGAGGGCUUGAACUCUUUCUGGAGGACAUGACAUAUCAGACUUUCAUGAAUGAAGGUGUCAUUCUGGACUGUUCUUCUCUUGCUGUGUAGUGUGUAACCAACAUGUCCCAAAUAUUAGUGGUGGACAGCAGUGAAUGCUCUUUCCUGCUGCUCAGCCAUAGUCUACUGUAGGUGUGAUCAGGCCAGCGCCUCUCAAUCCAGGGCCUGUUGAAGGCAUACUCUCCUACUAUUGCAGGACAGGAUCCCAAGGGAAGAGGCCCAUUUUGUUGGAAGAGGAAUGUGCAAUUCCUGUUAAAAACCCCUGCUUUGAAUGGAAAUACUGUUACCUCUGUCUAAAGUCCAUGUUCCAAGUAAGCUAUGUGGCCAACUCAAUGUCAAUGGAGUGGAAAUGUUCCUUACCCACAAAGAGACUGGAGCAGAAGCAGGGAAGAGAGGGAACACGGAGCAAAUAACACAACUCACCAAAUGCUCUCACUGCCCCCAGGCUCUCUUUACUCAUUAAUUUUCUCAAAGGAGAAAAAUCACCAUUCCCUCUGGGCUUCUCUACACCCCUGCGGGGUGGCGGCUGAAUUGACAAAAGUAAAGGCAGAUAGGCAGUAGCUGCAUUCUGUUAUACCUCAGGUGUUUUCACCUCCUGAAUGUGCCCUAACAGACACAUACAUAACACACACACACACACACACGCAUACAUACAUAUAUAUAUAUAUAUAUACACACAGAUACAUAGUUACAUACAUACACACAUACAUAUAUGUACAUACAUAUAUAUACAGGCACACCCAUGCGUACAUACACAUACAUAUGUACACACACACACACACACACACACACACACACACACACACACACAUACCCUUCUUAAACUGAAAGUUCUUCAUUGCCAAGGAGGAACCCAAGUAAUUCUUUGUUAGUGGAUUAUUCAGUGGAAGGAAACCUGCCAUGUUUACUGCCUUCAUCAGCUGGCCUAGACUGUUACUGUUUUUACUGAUAGCUGAUACAUGGAGGGCAUCAGUCAGAAGUGGUCUGAGCAUGCUAAUAACAGUAUGCGUCCAUUAACUCUAAUGUAGGAGAAU